AGGGAGAGUAGAACUGUCCUGUGAAAGCUGGAUUCAGAAGGCCAGGAUUUCUUCCCCAGGCCAACACAGGCCCAGCUCUAGCUCAGCCCUGCCCCGGAAGGACGGGAGUUUAAAAGGCAGUAGCUUCCCACCUGGGGCCACACCCAGGUGAAGCUGACUUCACCAGGAACCCGUUGGACUGGCUGUCUCCCAGACAGCAGCGGCCCAGGCCAGAACACCAGGCUGCCUGGCUGCAGCCUGGCACCUCUCCCUCGGGGCCCCACCUAGCUCCCACAGCAGCCAGGACUCCAGAACAAGGAUAGGAGCAGCAGGUGGGGAAGAGGCUUGCCCUGCUACUAGUGAGGCCAACUCAGCCUGGAUCUUCCAGUGCCCGCCCCAGCCUGGGCUGGGUCUGCUGCAGCCGCUUCCUGCUUUGGCUUUUCCUUUCACUUUGGUUUUUAACCCCAAAGUGAAACUAAAGACUGAGACGGUGUAGGAAAGAUGCUGAGAAUUAAGACCCCGGGAGCUGAGUACCUGGAACGGCUCCCACAACCACGCAGGCGCACGCACACAGGCCUGUGAGGAAGGGCGACUGCUGCGGCGCUGCUCAAAGCAGCGAGACUGGGAACGACCUGUGUGAGCCUGGGGACCGCACAAACCACUGGUGGUCCAUCUGUCGGUGAACUGUCACACGGUCACGGAAAAGGAGGCCAUGGACCUGUGCGCGUCCACAGGGAACUACCUACAGCAGAGAGAGACUGUGCGAAGAAGAGGAGACACAGAACAGUAGGCAGAGACUACAUCACCAUCCGUGUAAUGAGAAGGGAUGUUACUGACAGAGCUGCCUGCAUAUGCAGAGCGUUUCUGGAAGGAAACAGACGUCAAGACUGUUCAUCGCAGUUGUCUGGGAGUCCAGGUGGGAGAGACACUAAUUUUUCACUGGGCACUUUUUUUCUACAGAGCGUGAAAUGUUUAAUUCCAUACAUGUAGUGUUUUUUUUUCAGUAAAAAUAUAAUUUUUACACACAAAAAUAACUUCAGCAAAAUGCACCCAGAGGAGCCUCCCUCUAGGUCUCAGGCAUCAGACUCCCUGGGGCCAGAGCCCAGGUGCCUGGGUUUUUAAGUUGCCUCAACGGCUGCUCUGUUCAGCCUUGCAGAACAGUCAGCCUGAGAGUAGAUGGGGGCAGCCUAGGCACCUUAGGGCUCUAGGCAUGGGCGAAAAUGUCAGGGAAAACUUGACCUUAAGCCACAGGGAAUUAACUACCUGUGCCUUAAGUAAUUCAAAAGAUUUGAAGAGGGCUUUGAAUGCAGAACAGGCAUAGCUAAGAGGAGGGGGAAUUCCGCUUGAAGGACUGGGGAAAGACAGAGACAGGCUGGAAGAUGGAUGAAAGGGAAGGAAUGUUUCUCAAUGUGUGAUACUGGCAAGUCCCUUCCCCUCCCAGGACUGGUUCCCACUCCAAGGAAGUGAGGCGGCUGGGCCAGAGUCCUCGGUAGAACUGAUAUCCUAGGAUCUGCCUUUAUUUCAACUCAUUUAAUAUUAAAGUAGGCAGGGAGGGUCCCCAGCUCAGCACAUGGCCACAGGGCUCCACACCUGUGCUGACUGUAAUCAAAUAUUUGGAGACUGAAGAAAAUUCAGGCCAGGAUUGUAGGUAUAGCAGCCCUUGGGCGACAUCCCCUGGGGCAGAAAGAGCAGAUGGCUUUUUGUUGAGAUGCCCUUCCUCACCUUCUUGUUAAUAAUUAAGUCAUUACUGAGGACUUUUUCCCAUCCAUUUUGAAGUUCAGUUUGCAGAGACCUGCUGCUUUGCCUUGCUUUACCAUGAUGUUCUAGGCUGAGUGCUCGCAGGUUAUAGCAGUCUAGGUCUAAGCCACAGGCCCAAAAUACAGGGGUAUGCUGUGAGAGAGGCCACAGGUGGAGAGCUCCGGAGUGUUGGGGUGGAUCCUGACUAGAGCUGGGUGAUACUGUGGACUCUGGGAGGUCAGAAGUUAAGUCUCUAAGACAGCCCUGCUUGCCACUGUAUCCCUGGGCCAGCUCCCCACCUGGUACACAGCAGACACUUAAUAAAUAUCUGCUGAAUAAA